UACGGAGGGAGCUAGCGUUGUUCGGAAUUACUGGGCGUAAAGCGCACGUAGGCGGCUUUGUAAGUUAGAGGUGAAAGCCCGGAGCUCAACUCCGGAAUUGCCUUUAAGACUGCAUCGCUUGAAUCCAGGAGAGGUGAGUGGAAUUCCGAGUGUAGAGGUGAAAUUCGUAGAUAUUCGGAAGAAACACCAGUGGCGAAGGCGGCUCACUGGACCGGUACUGACGCUGAUGCGCGAAAGCGUGGGGAGCAAACAGG
rnacentral:rRNA from 1 species